UCCGGGAAAUUUCCUGGGGGCCAAAGCGUGCGUAGGCGGAUUUUUAAGUCGGAUGUGAAAUCCCUCGAGCUCAACUUAGGAAUUGCAUUGGAUACUGGGAAACUAGAGUAUGGGAGAGGAUGGUAGAAUUCCAGGUGUAGCGGUGAAAUGCGUAAAGAUCUGGAGGACUACCGAUGGCGAAGGCAGUCAUCUGGCCUAAUACUGACGCUGAGGUACGAAAGCAUGGGGAGCAAACAGGAUUAGAUACCCUGGUAGUCCAUGCCGUAAACGAUGUCUACUAGCCGUUGGGGCCUUUGAGGCUUUAGUGGCGCAGCUAACGCGAUAAGUACACCGCCUGGGGAGUACGGUCGCAAGACUAAAACUCAAAUGAAUUGACGGGGGCCCGCACAAGCGGUGGAGCAUGUGGUUUAAUUCGAUGCAACGCGAAGAACCUUACCUGGUCUUGACAUCCUAAGAACUUUCCAGAGAUGGAUUGGUGCCUUCCGGAGCUUACAUACGGGUGCUGCGUGGCUGUCGUCACCUCGUGUCGUGGG
rnacentral:rRNA from 1 species